GAUGAACGCUGGCGGCGUGCCUAAUACAUGCAAGUCGAGCGAACAGACGAGGCUCUCGCGCUUCUGACGUUGGCGACGGGCGGGUAAGUAACACGUGGAUAACCUACCUCUUCGACUUGGGCAACGUCGGGAAACCGUAGCUACUGCCGGAAAACAUAUUUAACCGCAUGGUUCAAUAGUGAAAUACGGUUUUGCUGACACUUAUAGAUAUAUGCGCGCCGGAUUAGCUAGUUCGUAGGGUAACGGCUUCUCAAUGCAGCGAUGCGUAGCCGACCUGAGAGGGUGAUCGGCCACACUGGAACUGAGACACGGUCCAGACUCCUACGGGAGGCAGCAGUAGGGACUCUUCCGCAAUGGGCGGAAGCCUGACGGAGCAACGCCGCGUGAGUGAUGAAGGUCUUCGGAUCGUAAGACUCUGUUAUUAGUGAAGAACAAAUGUGUAAGUAACUAUGCACGUCUUGACGGUACCUAAUCAGAAAGCCCCGGCUAACUACGUG
rnacentral:rRNA from 1 species